rnacentral:rRNA from 1 species
AUACAUAGCGUAAUGAAGCGAACCGGGGGAACUGAAACAUCUAAGUACCCCGAGGAAAAGAAAUCAACCGAGAUUCCCCCAGUAGCGGCGAGCGAACGGGGAGCAGCCCAGAGUCUGAAUCAGCUUGUGUGUUAGUGGAACGGUCUGGAAAGUCCGACGGUACAGGGUGAUAGUCCCGUACACCAAAAUGCACAGGUUGUGAACUCGAAGAGUAGGGCGGGACACGUGGUAUCCUGUCUGAAUAUGGGGGGACCAUCCUCCAAGGCUAAAUACUCCUGACUGACCGAUAGUGAACCAGUACCGUGAGGGAAAGGCGAAAAGAACCCCGGCGAGGGGAGUGAAAAAGAACCUGAAACCGUGU